GUCGAGGAGCAUGCGCCUCACCAACUCUCGCGAGCUGCGGGUAAAACAAGUUAUCCGGAGAAAGGGCGGAGCCCGGGCAGUCAUGUGACCUGGCCUUGCGUGGAACCUACACACCCCUUUAAAGUCGGAGACAGAGUCGUGGUGAAGGUGCUCCCCAGGAACAAGAGCCCAGGAGACUUCACCUAUGGUCCAGAGACAGAGGUCGUAGCAGUUACCCGGACAGCAGUCCUGACAGAGGAAAGUCCUACCUGGAUCCAUGCAUCCCGAGUAAAAAAGGUUCCUAGACCAGACCUAGAGAGGGAAGCAAGUGAUUCCAGUGAGGUACGAACCGGGGCAGACAGCCCUGACCUCCCACCUAGCGAAGAAAGAAGAACAGAAGAAGAUGAGGAACCUGUCCCCUAUCUCUAUCCUGGGGACUAUCUCGAUAGCCCUACUGGCCCUUAUUCACCUCACAAUAUGUGAAGUCGACAUCACACAAACAAAUGGGAUCCCCACCUUGUGGUAUAAUUCCUCUAACACACACGUAGCCACAUAUAUCCUUGACUAUUUUAUGUUCCCCAAAAUUGCUGAUGACAAAUAUUAUAUACAACACAGGAGGAAAUCAGGAAUGUCUGAGACAGUAUAUAUUUGUGUUACUGACGAAUGGUACUAUGACAUUAGAUAUUAUGGAUCUAAUUGCAAUUCCUGGGAAGCUGUGGGGUGGCAAGCAGGAUACUAUAGUGCAAGACAAAGGUUUUAUUUAUGGGAUAUGUAUAAAAAAAACCAAAAUACCAGCCUAAAAUUGCUCCCCAAAACAAACCUUUAAAGCCCCAUAUUGCCACUUCUAAAGAUAUGGUGGCUAUUACUAACCCUACCUUUGAAGACACCCUAGCUAUUGAAACUGGUUUCUCUGACAUUAAUUUUUGGUUGGAAUGGAUGAAGUAUAGUGCUAACAAACACAAUAAAAGCAACUGUUAUGUCUGUGGCAAAUCUAGGCCCCACCUAGGUACAGUGCCCCUUAAUAUACCCCUAGAACAGGAAAAUUGUUUUUUCAGCCUUUUUAAUGACACCAAAACAAAUGACAGUCAGUGCGAAAUGUGGAAAAGGGAAUAUCCCAUAUUGUCAAAAAAUCCCAACCCAGGAAGCACCAUAACCAUAUAUCCUGGAAACUAUACCUGUUAUACAUCUAACACCACCACAGGGAGAAAUCUAAAAACCUUCCCACCAGGGUAUUGUGCAAAUAAGCAUAUUCAUACUUGUAACUUUAAUUCUUGUAGGCAUUAUAGUUUAUUGUGUAAUUCCCUGUGGAAAGAAACUUACCUCCAAAGGCAUUGAUAAGGCCCUGAUGUAUUAUGAUAUAACCACCAGUCCUGUCACCUCCUCUGAUAGUGAGGGACCCGACGAUUAUGUCCAAUAUCUCAAGAACUGGAGGAACAAGAAAGGAGCCUCACUCAAGAAUCAUGUCAUAUAAUAAUCAUGAUUCUAAGAGGGGAUUGAAGGGUUACCUCUUCUGUCUUUGUACAUAUUACUUUUUAUAUGAUCAGUUUCCUUGUGGUGGUUACAGUGUAAAAGUGAAUAUUUCUAUUUCCCUAGUGAAGGGUUAAAACAUGCUAUAUGAACUCUUAUGUGUUUGCAUGGAUGCGUGCUGCCCUGUGCUAGGUGCCUUUGUCUCUCAUACAGAUACCAGGCCUGUGUGGGUCUGGCAUCCAAGGUCAGUUCCAUACCAGAUGAAACUUGUUCUUUCUACCCAAAUAUACUGUGUUACAAAAACUUUGUUAAAUGUUUGAGAAACUUGUAGAAAACCCAUAUAUGGACAUCCACCUUUUUCUGUUCUGCCUGGUAACUAUUAACGAACCAAUGGGAGUGUAACGACAUGUCAGUUACACCCAUAUGCAUUGUCAUAUAUACUUUUGUUAACCUCAUAAUAAAACAGUGUGAAUUUUUA